GCCAAAUAGGUUUUGAGGAUGGCUCAGUUGGUAGAGCAUGAGGCACUUAAUCUCCGGGUCAUGAGUUCAAGCCCCACAUUGGGCA